rnacentral:lncRNA from 1 species
GUGCCUUAAUGUGCAUGAUGGCUACCUUCUCAGGUAGCUGCACUGCAUCUAGUAGUCUCAGUAUUUCUUGUGAAUGUUUAAUAUUUUUCCCUUGCGAAUUUAACAGUCCUCUCUCUUUCCAAAUGGCUCCAUGUGCAUGAACUACCCCAAAUGCAUACCUUGAGUCUGUGUAAAUGUUAAUCUCUCUUCCUUUUGCCAACUCUAAGGCUCGAGUUAAGGCGAUUAUUUCAGCCUUCUGUGCAGAGGUGUUUGCUGAUAAUGGUCUAGACUCUAUUACCUCUCUGCUUGUGGUAACCGCAUACCCAGCAUGCCUUUUUCCACUGAUGACAUAGCUGCUUCCAUCAGUAAACCAAGUCUCAGCACCUUCGAGUGGGAUGUCCUUCAGAUCUGGACGGCUGGAGUAGGUGGCUUCAAUGGUCUCCAGACAGUCGUGGAUCACUGGUUCUCCCAUACUCCCGCUGAGAAAGGAAGCUGGAUUCACAAUGUUAGUUACCACAAUUUCAACAUCAUCCUGUUCCACUAGUAUAGCUUGGUACUUUAGAAACCUCUGUGGAGAGAGCCAAUGUCCCCCUUUUGCCUCAAGGACUGCAGACACUGUGUGAGAUACUAGCACAGUCAUCUUCUGGCCCAGGGUGAAUUUGUGUGCUUCUUGGAUGUUCACUGCCACUGCUGCAACGGCUCUGAGACACCCUGGCCAUCCUUUAGCUGCCGUAUCCAGCUGUUUGGAGAGAUAAGCCACUGCUCUCCGGUACGGGCCUAAGUUCUGUGCUAGUAUUCCCAAGGCGAUCUCUUGUUUUUCGUGGGAAAACAGGAAAAAUGGUUUACUUACGUCUGGGAGUCCUAAGGCUGGAGCUGACAUGAGAGCCUUCUUUAGUUGGUCGAAGGCUUGGGUUGCUUCCUUUGUCCACUGGAGAUCUCUGCUCUCUUCUGUGAUCAGGGCAUACAGAGGUUUAACAAGUAACCCAUAGUUAUAAAUCCAUAGUCUGCACCACCCUGUCAUGCCUAAAAAGGUUCUCAGUUCUUUCACUGUUUGAGGUCUCGGGGUCUGACAUAUUGUUUCUUUGCGAUCUUGGCCCAAGGUCCUUUGUCCAGCACUCACUUCAUAACCCAGGUAAAUGACUGUUUGCCUCACCAUCUGGGCUUUCUUCUGGGAUACUCGAUACCCCUGCAGGCCCAAAAAGUUUAGGAGGCUUACCGUCCAAUCUACACAUGUUUUUUGGGUCUGGGUGGCUAUCAGGAGAUCAUCCACAUACUGAAGCAACUGUCCUUCUCCUGGUGGAGGUUCCCAAGAUUCUAAAUCCUUGGCAAGCUGUUCCCCAAAUAUAGUAGGAGAGUUCUUGUAUCCCUGUGGUAAUACACACCAUGUGAGCUGGUUCCUCCGUCCAGUUUUGGGGUUCUCCCAUUCAAAUGCGAAAAUUUUCUGGCUGGCUUCGUGGAGAGGGAGGCAAAAGAAAGCAUCUUUUAAAUCUAAAACGGUAAACCAUGUUAGUUCAGGUGUUAAACGAGUUAACAAGGUAUAAGGGUUAGCAACUACUGGGUACAAGUCUUCAGUUACCCUGUUAACAGCCCUUAAAUCUUGUACUAACCUGUAUGACCCAUCAGGCUUCUUUACUGGCAAAAUGGGGGUAUUAAAAUCAGAUUGACACUCUUUUAACAGUCCUAUUUGCAAAAAGUUUUCUAUAAUUGGGCUAAUCCCUUCUCUAUCUUCUUUCUUCAGGGGGUAUUGUUUAACCCUUACUGCCCGUUCCCCCUCCUUAAGCUUGAUUUGUAUAGGUACUGCAUUCUUUGCUCUCCCUGGUAUAUUAGAAGCCCAUACCCCAGGGAAUACUUGAUCCAUUAUUUUCUUGAAGUUUUUCUCUUCUUCACUUACAGUUUUAAGUUCUUUGGUUAUUAACAUUAGGCUCAGCAACUCCACGUAUUGUUGGUCCUUUACCUCCAAGCUAAUGUCUCCAUUUUUAAAUAUUAUUUUUGCAUCUAGCUGCUCUAGCAGAUCCCUGCCCAAAAGUGCAGAUGGAGCAUUAGGCAUAUAUAAAAACCGGUGAAUUCCCCAUUGCUUUCCCAAUUUAUAUUUUAACGGUUUGCAAAAAUAUGCUCUCUCAGAUUGGCCAGUAGCUCCUUUUACCAUAACAUAAUCAUUUGUUAAAGGUAUUAGGGCCUUAUUUAACACUGAAAAUGUUGCCCCUGUGUCUACUAAAAAUUCCACUUCCUUUUCUUUAUUCCCUAGUUUAACUAUAACCAGAGGGUCCCCUAGGGUAGGGCCCUCCGGUCCUCCUCAGUCCUCCUUCGCGUGAGCAACCACUCUUUCUCCCCCCCGAUCGCUUUUUCUUUGUUCGUCACCUCUUCUUCGUUCUGGGCACUGGUUCUUCCAGUGUCCAAAUUUCCUGCAAAAUGCACAUUGAUCUUUUCCCAGUCGGGGUGGUCCUUGUCUUGGCGGGUCUUGCUCACAUCUUUCCUUUCCUUCUCCCCUUGCUACUGCUACUAAUUUCCUCAUCCCUUGUUUAUAUCCUUUCUCCCGGUUACUAAAGACUCUUCAUGCUUCAUCUAAUAGAGUCUCCAAGUCUCGGCUGUUUGGGCCCCGGAUCUUCUGAAGUUUCCGCCUGAUAUCUCCUGUGGAUUGUCUUAAAAACAAAUUUAUUAGUUGUUGUAUUCCUUCCUCUGAUCCAGGGUCCAGAGUGGUGUAUCGCCGCAUCGCGUCUCGUAGGUGAUCUAAAAAAUCAGAGGGUGUUUCAGAGGGACCUUGUUUAACAGCAUACAAAGCUGACCAGUUUAUGGUCUUAGGAAUUGCUCGUUCUAGUCCUUUCACUAUAAAGUCUUGAUAUCUCUUAAGCUGUGCUAAUUCAUCAGGUUCAUUGGGAUCCCACAUCGGGUCCUGAAGAGGAAAUACAUCUUUAAUAUCCUCUUGUGUUGAUACACAAGCAUCCUCAGCUAAGUCCUUGGAUACCUUUAAAACCAACUGCUUCUCUGUUUCUGUUAAAGCAUCAAGUAGUAACUGCAUGUCUGUCCAAUCAGGUAAAUGCUGCUUAACCAUAAACUUUAACCUUUUGGCAACGCCUAUCGGGUCAUUUCAAUAACCUUUAGCAGUCUUUUUUCAAGCCUCUAAAUCUAUUGAGAAAAAGGGGACUUUAAUUAUCUUUGGCUCCCCAUCAGAGGCUAUAGCUUGCCUUAAGGGUGCUUGUAUGACUCCUUUAGUUUGCUUUCUAGUUGUUUGUGGGGGUGGGUUCAUUCUGGUUUGCCUUCUGGUCCUUGAUGCUAUUGGACCUUGUGGGGAAGGCCUGGGACUUGGUUCAGAUUCAUCCCAUUCACUAUCACUACUGGGCAAUGGUGGAUAAAACUUCGAGGGUUCCCCUGAUCUAGGAGUUGGUGGGGAAACUCUUGCUUUAAUUACUGUUUUUUCCAGGGUAGACGAAUCAGAGGAUAGGUUAGGGGAGGCUGAAGUUGGUGAAGGUUCUGAUUUCACUCGUUUUCUCACCCCCUCCUCUACUCCCCUCCCUUCCUGGUUUCUAGGUGGUGGUAAAAGUGUCUCCACUGUCCCUUGUUCUAAGAUCUCUGUUGCAUACACUUUACUUGGGUGCGAGCAUCUUUGAUUUAUUGAACAUGUGCUGCAACACCGUUUGAGCUUUUCCUUGUUAGCCUUAUUAUCCUUUUCAAGAGCCAGUACCAGUGGAUCAGACGGUGGCCUAAUCCCACAAUCCCUUUGCCACUCAGGGUGAUUUCGAAGACUGAAAAACAUAUCAGCAUAAGUUACUUCUUGCCACUUUUGUUCACGCCUAAGGAAAAGCAUUAACUGUAAUAAAGUCUCAUAGUCUAAAGUACCAUUUGCUGGCCAUUUCAACCCCCCAUCAAGUCUAUAGAGUGGCCACCACUGUGUAGAAAAUUUAACAAGUUCCCUUUUAGUUUCACUACCACCAUAGCCCACCAGUGCUUUCCAGUGUGUUAAGAUACACCCUAAAGGGGUUCCCUUAGGAAUCUCUUUGCUCUCAUUUGCCCCCAUGUUCAGGGUUUUUCUUUUCAAAACGUCUUUUGAUCUUAUCCCAGUUCUUAAGCUUUACCUGGUAUUCUUCUGGUACAAAAAUAUGCUGGCCACACUCAACUCUAAGUAUUUCCACUGGUUUCUUCAAAGUUCCUGAAACUCCGUUUUCUAACAAUUCAAAUAUUUUACUGCUACCAGGAACCUCUUGACCAGUCACCAACAAAACUUGUAUAACUUUCUGGGUGGCCUUUUGUUCUUUUGAACGACAAAAAGCACAAAUUCCAGUCUUAGGUAUUAGCCACCUGUACCCUUUUCGGACCCACAAAUCCUGACAGACUACACACCGAAAUACAAUCCACGGAUUACAAUAACAAUCUUUAUUUGGGCAGGGGAAUACUUCUGACCCAGGCUUUCGAUUCCUGUUUCUCCCGGUCCUGGUCAUAUAGCUAUGCUAGCAAACAAAAGGGACAAAACAAUUUGUUAGUUAAUUUUCACUUUUUCUCCCUUCAAAACAAGGUUCAGAGCAGCAGCUGUUGAGGAAAACUUGUUAUACAAAAGAAAAGGGAAAAAGAAAAAACAAAGAAAAAACUAAAAAUUGCAAGUUAUUAAUCACUCAUUAAAUCAAAUCCUCUGUUACGUUUUGCUCUGGGUAUAUUACUGUUAAAAUUUGUUUAAAAACUGUAAACAAACUUUCAUACACUGUAGCAAGUUUGCAGUUAAAAGCCAAGCGUAUCUCCUGUCGCACUGUAAACCAAGGACAAAUGGAAAUUUGACAAACUAUCAGUCCAGUUUCGACCGAAAUUUCGCGACUCCACACUGCACUGAGAGCUGUGUGAACUGCUACUAUAGCCUGUUCUAAGAAUUUUUGGAUUGCUGACCAGAUUUCUCUCACCCUUUGAUUGAAAAUGUUACAAAAUGCAAAGUUCGGUUGCGUAUUCGCAGCUUCAAAACCAAGUUUCUCUUUUUCCAAAAGGACCUAAAUUCUAAUAGUUUAGGCUCACAAAAAACACUCUGGAGUUUUUCACAACUCCGAACACAUUCAACAAAUGUUCGAACAAGGUCU